CCGGACAGGCACACGGACAGGGAUAGGGACACGGGCCGGGACAGGCACACGGACAGGGAAGCCCUCGGUGUGUAGCACUGCCCCUGCCGCUCCAGUCGGAGCGUUUUCUACUCGCUGUGCAAAACUCUGCUUUGGAAUUGUGCUGUAAACGCGCUGCUUUCAGCCAGCGGGAACGGGAGGUUUAUCAUGGCACUAUGAUAGCGAUGACCCUUACCUUUGCAAGCCGUGUCUUUCACUUUUUAAGGGAUUUAAAUAAGUCCUCUUUCUGAGAGAGAACGUCUUCUCUUUGCCUUGUGUGGCUUCCAGCACAUGUGGAUCCAGCGCAUCACUAAUCUAUGGUCUUUCCUCAUCACUGCCUCUGUCACGUCCCCAUCCUCAUUUCCAUCUCCGUUGGUUCGUAAGCAGAAUAUUGCACAGUGAGAAAAGCAAACAUAUAAAUGCUUCUUCCACUGGGCUUCACAAGCCUGGCAGGGAACAGGGAUUACUCUUGUAGAGGAACAGAUUCCAUACUACACACUAAGAACAGAAAGUGAAGGGAAGGAUGGUGUAAUAUUAAUUUUUGAUUUCCCAAAUGAAGGGUUUGCUAGUGGGUUAAACAAUAGCACCCCAGUGGGAGAAAGCAUGGGGUAGUGGUUAGAGGUCGGGGUUCAAGAGCUGGGAAACCACAAUCACAUUCUCUUGACUGUGCUUCAGUCUCUAGAUGAAUCAAGGUAGGUCAGUUUUGUCACCAGUGCCAGGAAAGUAAUGGCACUCUGCGUAACACAUAACAUGCUGCAGUACUAAGUGCGGGCAUUUAUUAACAUUAGCAGUAAGCAUGGAGGUUGUGAAAGGAUAAACAGAAAGAAGAUACUGUGAAAAAAACAACACUGUGUUACAAUCUGAGGAAGUAUGCCUAAAGGAAAUGGGGAUUGUUCACAGGAUAUACUUGUCCUUGCAUCAUUGACCUCUUAUAAUCUGCCUGCUUGUCCUGCUCCCAAACCAAUAAGGCUAACUUUUUCUAAGAGCUGAAACAGCUGAACUGCCUUUUCAGUUUGGAUUGCUGAUACUUGAGACUCUUCAGAUGGGACUGCAAAUUGGAGGCAGAGGAAGUUACCUGCCACAGCAAGUAGUUGAUGACACCUGUCACUGGGAACCCUGCUGCCAGGAGAGCAGUUUCUGCACAUCUGUGGGGCCUCAGGGCACCUUGGUGACUUGUAGCAGUUUAGCCUUUAGAGUGAAAUAUCAAAGGCCAGCUCUGGAGCUGCAGUGAUGCCAAGUAUCAACAGACCAGCUGUAGGCUCAUUUCAUCAGUUUAAUGUUCUGUACUCAUUACAAAGUCUCACUGUACCCCAGCCCAUUGCAGUCUGCAAUGUUGCUGUGACACAACCUAUAAACUCUGCCUACCCAUUCUCAGUCUGCCACAUUGUCUUACUUCCCUUGCGCUCUUCCACAGCCUAAAUCCCACUUGAGCACUGUCCUCUGCACUGCCCGCCUUUAACCACUGGGUGCCAGGGGCCUCCCAGCAGGAAGCCACUCACACACUGGCUCGUUCUCCUGCAUCAGGAGGAGAAGCACCAGCCUUGAACCGCUUCACCCAGCUGUGCAUGUGCUCAGUUUACAUUUGUGGUGAGGGCAGGUGUGUGAAACAGCCAGUGGCAGAUCAAGGCAGCCCCGGGCACCUAGGGACUUCAAGAAAUUGCAUUGUCUCUGCUCCUGCAGCUCAGGCUGCCUGCAGAGAGGGAGGUGAGGAGAGCUGUAAGGUCGUGGCUGUGACCCAAAACCGCAACAAGAACCCCAUCAGUUCAUUUCGUAUAAGAAUAGCUCACAGAGAGAGAACAGCCACCAUUAGUUUAAGUUACAUCUCAGUAAGGCAAAAGGAUUCAUAUCCCAUUAUCAAGGAAAUACUGGAGUCAUUCAGGCCCCUUUUGUUGCGAUUGCUGCCUUUUAUUGGUUUGAAAUGACAUUUUUGGAGGACUUAUUUCUGCCUUACUAGCUAUGACUGUCUUUUCAUUCUGUGUUAAUAUGCUGGCUAGCUCAAAGAAAUCCAGAUUAAGGUGCUAAGAAAUAGCAAUAAAAUCAUACAGCCACAGGUUAUUUCAACAGUGCCUUGAUCACACAUAUAAUUGCAACAGAAAACAGUUUCAACAGCAGUUUUCAACAAAAAGCAGUUUCUUUAUUUUGUAUGGCUUAAAACUUACAAAAGAGGAGGUAUAACACAAACACUCAGAAGAGCCUCUAUUAAUGCCUCAAAACAGAAGAGCAGAAUUGUAAAAACUAACAAACUGGAAUAUAAAUUAUUUCUCUUUCUCUACAGAGGUAGAGCUUUAGCUCUACCUCUCCACAACCACGUGCUUAAAUUACCAAGCCAUCAUAAGGGUAAAUGUCAGGAUAAAUACUUUGAAAAUGUCCUUCCCUGUAUUACUAACAUCACUAUGGACUAUUAAAAUUAAAAGGCUCUUUAAAAUGUAAUUGACUUUUUCAUUAUUUAUCUGCUGCUGCCACUGUUCACUUCCAUAUGUGUAAGUAGUAAAUCCCCAGAGGGGUGUUUCAUAUCUGUAUAAAUGUAUAUUAAAUGCUUUGCCUCUGGCAUUUUAGAAAUAGCACAAAUGCAGCUGUGUUUGUGCACUAUA